rnacentral:tRNA from 1 species
GGGAAGGUGGCUCAGUGGUAGAGUGCUUGCCUUGCAUGCAUGAAGCCUUGGGUUCGUUUUCUCA